rnacentral:rRNA from 1 species
UGGGGAAUUUUCCGCAAUGGGCGAAAGCCUGACGGAGCAAUGCCGCGUGGAGGUGGAAGGCCUACGGGUCGUCAACUUCUUUUCUCGGAGAAGAAACAAUGACGGUAUCUGGGGAAUAAGCAUCGGCUAACUCUGUGCCAG